GAUGAACGCUGGCGGCGUGCCUAAUACAUGCAAGUCGAGCGAACGGACGAGGCUCUUGCUUUGCUCAUGUGAGCGGCGGGCGGGUGAGUAACACGAGUAUAACCUACCUAUCAGACUGGUAUAACUACGGGAAACCGGAUCUUAUCCCAGAUAAGAUUCUGAACCGCGUGGUUCAUAGGAGAAAUACGGUCUUGCUGUCACUAAUAGAUGCAUACGCGCUGCAUGAGCUAGUUGGUACGGUAACGGCCUACCAAGGCAACGAUGCAUGGCCGACCGGAGAGGGUGAUCGGCCACACUGGAACGGAGACACGGUCCAGACUCCUACGGGAGGCAGCAGUAGGGAAUCGUAGGCAAUGGGGGAAAGCCUGACGGAGCGACGCCGAGUGAGUGAUGAAGGUCUUCGGAGCGUAAAGCUCUGUUACUGGGGAAGAACAUCUGUGUAAUUAAAUGUGGAGAUCUUGACGGUACCUAAUCAGAAAGCACCGGCUAACUACGUG
rnacentral:rRNA from 1 species